rnacentral:rRNA from 1 species
UACGGGGGGGGCAAGCGUUGUUCGGAAUUACUGGGCGUAAAGGGCUCGUAGGCGGCCAACUAAGUCAGACGUGAAAUCCCUCGGCUUAACCGGGGAACUGCGUCUGAUACUGGAUGGCUGGAGUUUGGGAGAAGGGAUGCGGAAUUCCAGGUGGUAGCGGUGAAAUGCGUAGAUAUCUGGAGGAACACCGGUGGCGAAGGCGGCAUCCUGGACCAACACUGACGCUGAGGAGCGAAAGCCAGGGGAGCAAAC